ACCCGAUCGAUCACGCUUUACCGCUAGC
rnacentral:piRNA from 1 species